AUGUCGCCGCCCCUCUUCUCCUCGCUCACCUCGGCCACCUCCUCUCCUCCGCCGUGUCGUCGGCCCCCUCCCUCCUCUCAGUUCCGUGCCAGCCGCCGGCCAAACCCUAGCCCCCGUUCCCCUUGGUCCCCACAGUUACUGCAUCCACAGCCACCCGCUCAGAGAGGCCGAAGACCGGGCAGCGGACGCCUCACGGGGUGGAGGAGAGGCCGGCGAUAG
rnacentral:rRNA from 1 species